CGGUCGAUGCCCGAGCGGUUAAUGGGGACAGACUGUAAAUAUGUCUACGCUGGUUCAAAUCCAGCUCGGCCCA
rnacentral:ncRNA from 7 species